GUAUUGGUUAAUAUAUAUAUCAACUUAUUUAUUUAACACAAAUAAAAUUAUUUUGAUUAGAUAUUUUUAAGGAAACACACAGACACAAUAAAAGUAUUUUACAUAAUUAAUACAUAAGCUUGAGUUUCAGUGUAUUUUACUUCUUGCAUUUAAUUAUUAUUAUUAUUUAACUUAUCAAAAAUGGUUGAAUUAAGAUUUCCUUUGAUUUUCAAGCCAAUUCAGAACAAGUUCAAGAUAUGCAAUCAGCACCAUUAAAGGGUUUAGAAUAUUAUAUAUUAAAUAUUAUAUGGAUAUAAUUGCCUUUAGUUAUACUGCCCAGCCCUAAUGUUGUACUUUGUUGUCUGUGCUUGACUAAAAUGAAUUAGUGAAUCAGUGAACACAGGGUGCAUUUCCUGUUUCACAGUUGUGUAUGCUGUGUCACUUCCUGUCAGGAGAGGAUUUCCUGUUAGCUGGCGGAUGGUUUGGGCCUGGGCAGUGAACUGUGACAAGGACAUUUACAUCUACAGCAAUGCUUACAGCUACUUUGUUCUGAGUACUUCUGCUAAGACUGGUAUCGCUAUUUAGGGUUAGUGAGUAAGGACAGGAAACUCAAAUCUCACACGACAUACAUUAAUGGAGGGAUUCGAGUCAUAUCUAGAGAGCUGGAUAUCAGCAAGACCUGAAGGUGGACCAACAGACAACCACAUACUUUGAUGGGCAAACACCUCACACUUUCCUCCGAGGUUUGAAAGUGGUUGGUGGGGCUCCUGCAGGUCUGGGAAUGAUGACCCUGAUCUUUCAUCUUAAGGAAGAUGGACAGCCUGGUUUGGUUCUGUUUAAACUGCAUCCUCUGAUCUCUCCAGGGGGUCAGUCAACACCAGCCACGGUUAAACACCAUGAUUUUACCAUGGUUAAGGGCUGUCAUACUAUAGGUCAUGACGUAAAAUUGCAUUUUAAUGACAGUAAAAUCAUUGUAAUGCAUCUUUUGUGUGGCUCACUUAUUGCAUUAAUACAAAUUCUUUAACAGCAAUAGGAUGAAAGAUAUAUUUACAAAAACAAACAUAAAAAUUAUUAAUUAUAAUAAUCAGGGAAACAUUUCCU
ensembl:lncRNA